rnacentral:rRNA from 1 species
GCUACGGGGGGCAGCAGUGAGGAAUAUUGGUCAAUGGGCGCGAGCCUGAACCAGCCAAGUAGCGUGAAGGAUGACUGCCCUACGGGUUGUAAACUUCUUUUAUAAAGGAAUAAAGUGAGGCACGUGUGCCUUUUGGUAUGUACUUUAUGAAAAAGGACCGGCUAAUUCCGUGCCAGCAGCCGCGGUAAUACGGAAGGUCCGGGCGUUAUCCGGAUUUAUUGGGUUUAAAGGGAGCGUAGGCGGGCGUGUAAGUCAGCUGUGAAAGUCCGCGGCUCAACCGUGGAAUUGCAGUUGAAACUGGAGGCCUUGAGUGCACAAAGGGAUGCUGGAAUUCAUGGUGUAGCGGUGAAAUGCGUAGAUAUCAUGAAGAACUCCGAUCGCGAAGGCAAGUGUCCGGGGUGCAACUGACGCUGAGGCUCGAAAGUGCGGGUAUCAAACAGGAUUAGAUACCCGAGUAGUC